AAUAAAAAUAAAGAAAGAAAAUUAAUAUACACCUUAGGGGCGAAUCUUUGAUAUGUAAUAACUUAAAAUAGUAUAAGAAAAUUGUUCAGUAUAUUAAUGAUUGGUAGGUCUGCUAAUUUUCUAUAACGUCUAUCGGGAAUAGAAUAAAAUAAAAUACUAGUUCCGGAAUAAAAUCGUCUGUUGAGCUGAGUUAAGUCUUUUCGCAAUCUCCGAUGUUAUUAAAAAAAAAAAGAAGAAGAAGAAGAAGAAGAAAAAGUAUCGUUUUCGAUCACAUAUGGUCGCCCAAAUCAAAGUCGAUAUCACCUAUUCAAAAUCUUUUAAACUAUCUUGUGCAUGUUCUAUCAGAGACUGUACCUUCACCAAACACUUUCAAUACAUUUCUGUGCGCCUCUGUAGUAUUUUUUCCUUGUUGGAAUGCUUGCAAGCUGAGACUCAGGUAUGGCUGGAGAGCAUGGAUUCAUUUCUUGUCCUAGGUAUCCUGUUUGAUCAUAAGCUUCGAUUCAAUUUGAAUACUUGUUGAAUACUUUGUGCUACGCUUCAUUAAACGCUGGUCAAGGGAAUUUGACGAGCCACGUGUGAAGAGAAGAUUACAAGUCAGCUUAGUGUGCCCUGUAUUGGAACACGCCUCGGUCGUAUCGUUGCUAUGUGAACUCAAUUAAAUCAAUUUUCAUUGUUUGCUCUUAGAAAUUUGUGUUGAGAUCCAAGCGUCCCCCUCCCUC